GAUGAACGCUGGCGGCGUGCCUAAUACAUGCAAGUCGAGCGAACGGACGCGACGCUUGCUUCUCUGAUGUUAGCGGCGGACGGGUGAGUAACACGUGGAUAACCUACCUAUAAGACUGGGAUAACUUCGGGAAACCGGAGCUAAUACCGGAUAAUAUUUUGAACCGCAUGGUUCAAAAGUGAAAGACGGUCUUGCUGUCACUUAUAGAUGGAUCCGCGCUGCAUUAGCUAGUUGGUAAGGUAACGGCUUACCAAGGCAACGAUGCAUAGCCGACCUGAGAGGGUGAUCGGCCACACUGGAACUUAGACACGGUCCAGACUCCUACGGGAGGCAGCAGUAGGGAAUCUUCCGCAAUGGGCGAAAGCCUGACGGAGCAACGCCGCGUGAGUGAUGAAGGUCUUCGGAUCGUAAAACUCUGUUAUUAGGGAAGAACAUAUGUGUAAGUAACUGUGCACAUCUUGACGGUACCUAAUCAGAAAGCCACGGCUAACUACGUG
rnacentral:rRNA from 1 species